rnacentral:rRNA from 1 species
CUGGUGCUACUGAUUUCUCCCUUCUGAAGAACUAUCAUGCCAUUAAUUUGGUGUGGUAGGGAAUCAGGACUGUUACUUUGAAAAAAUUAGAGUGUUUAAAGCAGGCUCACGCUUGAAUACAUUAGCAUGGAAUAAUGAAAUAGGACGUUGAUCUUAUUUUGUUGGUUUCUAGGAUUGACGUAAUGAUUAAUAGGGAUAGUUGGGGGCAUUAGUAUUCAAUUGUCAGAGGUGAAAUUCUUGGAUUUAUUGAAGACUAACUACUGCGAAAGCAUUUGCCAAGGAUGUUUUCAUUAAUCAAGAACGAAAGUUAGGGGAUCGAAGACGAUCAGAUACCGUCGUAGUCUUAACCAUAAACUAUGCCGACUAGGGAUCGGAUGAUGUUAAUUUUUUAAUGACUCAUUCG